UUGUAUUCGUUAAUGAUAAUAUAAGUAAGGGAAAAGAUUCAGAAUCAGCCAUUGUUGUAUCUCUAUCCUCAGUGCGUGUGACAGCACAUGGAGCGGUUGAGCUGAAGUCGCUGAAUUCUGACGAGUCGUUUUUGGUGAAUGGGCAACGAGUGAAGCACUACUUUGGAGAGGUCAUUGACUGCGAGAGGACCUCGGUGGAACUGGAAGAGGCUUGAGAGAGCCUGCGUCGUGCCACGACGUUAAAUCAGGCGCUUCUCGGAAGGCAACCCGUGCUUGUAACAUUAGCACAAAAAAAGUAAAAAAAAAAAAAAAACACACAAAAAAUGUCGUGCCACGACCUUAACUAAGGCGCUUGUUGGGAGGCAACCCAUCUUUUUUAUAGCUAUAUGUCACGUUUGCUCAUGUUGCAGGACUAAGGAAGGAGCGAGAACGCAAAACAUGCGAAAAUAGUCAAAAAAUCGCUCCAGGUUUGUCGUAUGUGUCGGACCCGCGACACGGGACCAAUGCGUCUGAGGAGUUUUGACAGAGACAAAUUUUUGUGUUUGGUACUCGCGUCGCGGAUCUAACGCCUGAUUAGAUUUUUGACAGAGAUGUAAGAUUGCGCGUUACACCCGCGACGAGUGUUUAACGCUUGACGUGAGUUUUGACUAAGAGGUAAGUUUGGACGAUUGACCCGCGACACAGGUCCAACGCUUCUUGGGGCCCAGUCCGAAUUUUUUUAAAGGUAAAAGACUACGAGUCCCCUUUUGUCAUGCUCACUUUCCCACCUCUCUCAAACUCUCCAAAAUCGAAAAAAAAAAAAACCUCCCUAAACCCUUUCUUUCAAGGAUCAAAACUCAAGAACUCUCAUCCAUUCUCCAUUAAUCAAACAAUGAAAAUGGUUAACACAAAGAACAAAGGGAAGUAUACCGCCACCUCCUCUCAAGGCACAAAACGAGGGAGAGCGAACCCCCCAAAGGCUAAAAAGACAAUCAAAUCGCUAUCGGCGGUAAGAACCAACCAUUCCUAUCUCUCGAGUUCCACCUUCAAUGUUACAUCCGGCAUUUUUGCAUGUUCGAAAAAAAAUUGAGAUAACUUGACUUGUAAUGAAUAAGGCCAUAUUUGGACCUUACUUGGUAUGAAUGUGUCGGCUAUGAAUAUAUAUUGGUGUGGAAUAACGAAAGGAGGCCAAGGGCAAAAAUUGGAAUUUUGAAAAUUUGCUUCAUGAAUUACAAAAUGUAACCAUUUGGACUCAAAAAAAUAUAAGAGAAAUGAGGCCCAACAAGGGGAAGCCCAACCGGCCAUAGGUUGGCCCAAACCCACAAAUUAUUAUGUGGUUAAUUAAUUAUAUAUGUGGAUAAGCUUGCUAGAAGCUUCAAGAAAAACAAAGAAAAAUCAAGAACAAAAAAAAAAAAAAAAAAAAGAGGUCACGGCUAGAGAGGAGAAAAAGAGAAAGAAGAAAGAUAAAAUUCUUGGAGCCUAAUCUUGGGUUCAAAAAUUCAUUUCUUGUGGGAUUAUUACCAAGCUCAAGAUUCUCUACAACUUGGUAUAAUUAUUUUGGCAAGAGGACAACUCUAGUGGCAAGUGAAGAAUUUGAAGAAAAGGUAAGAAUUUCAUGCCUUUGUUAUGUUAUGGAAGGUGUAUGCAUGUUGUAGAGUGUGGAAUUGAGUAAGGAGUAUGAAACUUGUGUGUUAUGUGUAUGAAUAUGUGUUGGCCGUGUGGGAGGUUUUGACCGUGUGUGUGUGUGUGUUGUAUACUUAUGAUGAGUCGAAUUUAUGUUAUAAUCUAGUUGUGGUGAUGAUGGAAUUUGUAUUGGAAAUGAAAGUUGAAUGAAUUAAUGAAAGUUGGAAAUUUUAGUGCAUGGCCGUGUGGAUGUAUAAAUAUGUGUGUGUGGCCGUGUAGUGCUAUAUGUUGGAGAGAACAUGGAUUUGUUAUAAUUAGUAUGUUAAUUGUGUGGUAAUCUUGUGAUGAAAAUGAGAAAAAGUGUUGUUAAUUGGUUGUCGGAAAGUAGAUGAUUUUAGUAUAGUUUAUGUGAUUAUGGGAAUGAAAUUGUAAGAAUAUGCUAUGGAUGUUUAUGCUAAAGAUUGGAGGUUGCGGGUGAAAUAUGCCCUUAGUAGGAAACUUGUAUAUCGCAUAUAUCUUAUGUGUAUUUGGUGAAAACGAUAUGAUAUGCCUCCGAUUCAUGUUGUAAUGAUCUUGAUGAGUGAUGAAUAUGAAAAUGGUAAGAUUGAUUUGAAAGUGUAAGGUCGGAAUGGAAGAUGUUAUGUUAUGCCGGAAAGAUGGCUAGUUAUGCCAUAUUAGGUGUCUUGUAAUGCUUGUUGUUGUUAUUGAUGUUGUUUCUGGGUUGCUGUGUUGAUAAAUUAAGCCGAGCUAAGUCUCGGGGAUGUUAUAUAUAUAGGGGAAAUGCUGCCGAAAUUUCGGUAGGCAAGUAUGUGAUAAAAUUUGGAUUCUUAAAGGCUUGAAUUUGACAAUUGGUAAACAUGACCAUUUGUAGAUUCUGGACGAAAUUGGAAUCGAAGCCAAGCGAGCGUAAGACGCAAUCGAGGUACAAUGAGGACAAAUGAUAAGAACCUGAGGAAUUUUGGUUGAAUCUGGAGGUGAUUCUGUGUGCAUGAGUCAACGAGAGGAUCUCGCGACCUUAGAAGAUUUUUUUGGACAACGGAAGGAAGAUGGGCAUUAGGCCCGCGUCGCCCAGAAGGCAAACACGCGUGAGACCCGUGUCGCGGGUAGUAGACGUGAAAAAUAGCUGCAGACCAAAGCAAAAUCAGAAAUCUCAGAGGAUACCCGCGUUGCACAUGCGACGUGGGUGUAACACAAGCGGACUGCCAGUUCUCCCGUUUUUAUUAGGAUCUGGUCUAAUUAUUUUUGUUUUAAACCCUAGACUAUAAAUAGACGUUUUAUUAGUUGUUAACCACGUGCUGGGAUUUUUGCUAAGACUUGUAAGCCGUCAUCUUUACUUUCUCUCUCUUGGUUUAUUUUAUUUUAUUCUUUUCAACCAUUCAUGAAUUCUUGUUCUUCAUUUAGAAUCAUGAGUAGCUAAACUUCUUAAUUCUAGAGUUGUGGCGAAAGACAUGAUAGUUGAUUUGACGACAAUUUCUAUCUAUUAAAUUUUUAUAUUUUG